rnacentral:rRNA from 1 species
GAUGAACGCUGGCGGCGUGCUUAACACAUGCAAGUCGAACGGAAAGGCCCAAGCUUGCUUGGUUACUCGAGUGGCGAACGGGUGAGUAACACGUGGGUGAUCUGCCCUGCACUUCGGGAUAAGCCUUGGAAACUGGGUCUAAUACCGGAUAGGACGAUGUUUUGGAUGCCAUUGUGGAAAGUUUUUUCGUUGUGGGAUGAGCUCGCGAUCUAUCAGCUUGUUGGUGGGGUAAUGGUCUACCAAGGCGUCGACGCAUAGCCGGCCGGAGAGGGUGAGCGGCCACACUAGGGCGUAGAGCCGGUUUAGAAUUGUAAGGGAGGCCGGAGUAGUACGGGAGGCAGCAGUGGGGAAUAUUUGACGAUGGGAGGAAGCGUGAGGGAGCGAGGCCGUGUGAGGGAUGAACGCCGUCGGGUUGGAAACACAUAUCGGUAAGGAAGAAGCGAUUUUGUGACGGUACCUGGAGAAGAAGCACCGGCUAACUACGUG